UACGUAGGGUGCAAGCGUUAAUCGGAAUUACUGGGCGUAAAGCGUGCGCAGGCGGCUUUGCAAGACAGAUGUGAAAUCCCCGGGCUCAACCUGGGAACUGCAUUUGUGACUGCAUGGCUGGAGUGCGGCAGAGGGGGAUGGAAUUCCGCGUGUAGCAGUGAAAUGCGUAGAUAUGCGGAGGAACACCGAUGGCGAAGGCAAUCCCCUGGGCCUGCACUGACGCUGAGGCGCGAAAGCGUGGGGAGCAAACAGG
rnacentral:rRNA from 1 species